UGAGGAAUAUUGGUCAAUGGCCGUAAGGCUGAACCAGCCAAGUCGCGUGAGGGAAGACGGCCCUACGGGUUGUAAACCUCUUUUGCCGGGGAGCAAAGAGCGGGACGGGUCCCGCCUCGAGAGUACCCGGAGAAAAAGCAUCGGCUAACUCCGUGCCAGCAGCCGCGGUAAUACGGAGGAUGCGAGCGUUAUCCGGAUUUAUUGGGUUUAAAGGGUGCGCAGGCGGGUCGGCAAGUCAGCGGUAAAAUUGAGGGGCUCAACCCCUUUCCGCCGUUGAAACUGCCGGUCUUGAGUGGGCGAGAAGUACGCGGAAUGCGUGGUGUAGCGGUGAAAUGCAUAGAUAUCACGCAGAACCCCGAUUGCGAAGGCAGCGUACCGGCGCCCAACUGACGCUCAUGCACGAAAGCGUGGGUAUCGAACAGG
rnacentral:rRNA from 1 species